CGGCGACGGGUGAGUAAUGCCUAGGAAUCUGCCUGGUAGUGGGGGACAACGUUCCGAAAGGAACGCUAAUACCGCAUACGUCCUACGGGAGAAAGCAGGGGACCUUCGGGCCUUGCGCUAUCAGAUGAGCCUAGGUCGGAUUAGCUAGUUGGUGAGGUAAUGGCUCACCAAGGCGACGAUCCGUAACUGGUCUGAGAGGAUGAUCAGUCACACUGGAACUGAGACACGGUCCAGACUCCUACGGGAGGCAGCAGA
rnacentral:rRNA from 1 species